CCUUCGUUGCUUUAUUUCCCAUGGAGUAGGAAGUUGCUUUGAGUUUUUUUAAUGCUAUGCUGGCUUUUGAGUACAGGCUACCUUUAAAAGUUAAUUUAACAUUUGCUUAAGUUACUUCACAGCCAUUAGCUCUCCGUUUUUAUCAGAACAGUAUAUUUGUUUAAAGAAAAAGAAAAUGGUUAAAAUAGGUUAAACCUUUUAAUUGAAUUUAUUUUGUUUCAGACAUCCAAGAAUCCUUUUAUGUAUAAGCAAUUUAAACACAUUUAUAAACACACACAUAACAUUGCAAUUUGUAUCUGAUGAUUAACAAGUGACAGACUGGGUUACAGUUUAAAUACCCACCCCGAGAUCAGAAUUUGGAGAUGUUUGUGUAGACAUGGAAAGCAGGCCUCCACCUAACGUGUGGUGUAGUUACUGGAAUGUGAUUAUGCUAUCUGCCCCUUCUGGGGCUGCACACAGUCGGUCUGCCUCCUUCCACACAAACCAGGAAUAUGUCUGAUGCUGUAAAACAGCUAAAAGAUAAAUGUAUGUUAAAAGAUACUUAAAGGAAUACUGGAGUUAAGGAUUAAAUCCUAUGUUCCUAAUAGUUUCCUGCUAUAGUUUAGUGUCCGAACCAUCCCGUGUAUCAUAAACAUUUUCAGAGGAGUACAGGGAAUCUCACAAGUCAUACAUUCAAUCCUUUCCUAUGGGCUUAUUCAUUACAUGGCCACAGGAGCACAUAGUGGCUGCCAAGAAGAUAGUUUUUAUAGACUGCAAUGUUAAUAGCUGUUUUUUGUUUUACACAUUGCAGGGUUACAGACAGCACCCAAACCACUUUGAGAGAAGGUAUUUUUGUUGACUAUAGUGAACCUGUACCAGAUCUACCCUCUGUGAAAUAACCACUGCCUGCUGGCCAGGUAACAAUCACAUUCACGUUUAGUGGGUACUCAAAUCCAGCACAUAAAAAGAACCUAUUAAAUUUAAUAAUCCUGUUAGGAUUAGGCUGCCUCCCCCAACACCGCUGUAAUGGAAGCAUUUUGUGCAAAAAAAAAUUUCAACUGAUUUCUUUAUUUUCUGUUUAUUUCCCAUUCACGGUUGGUUAAGGAGCAUGUUAGCACAGCUCACACAGUAAAGGAAAUACGCAGUAUAGCGCUACGGAAUAUGUUGGCGCUAUGGAAAUAGUCGAGGAUAGCAUCAAGGAAUAUCUACUUUCAUAUCAUGCCCUGUUUAUGCACACGUGUAAUAAAUACUACUUUACCAUCAUUUCUAAAGCAGCCAUUGGGUGUAUCUGAAGGCCUGAUGUAAAUUUACAGAAGGUUUCUGCAUUAAUUAGUACUGUAGGUAGUGGAAGUUAAACACAAUGGACUAUAGAGCAGACACUAUAAACAUACAAAAUUAAGCACUGUGCUCAAAACACCCAACUUCUAAUUCUGAGCGGCAGCAAAGACCAUAGUACACAUCAGCCCCAAUACAUACAAUAAAUAAUGAUGGGGUGGGAGUUACUUGCGCAUUAUUCCAGGUCCCUAUGCACAUUUAAUGAAUUGAAGGAUUUUCCUGUUUGUUUUGGGUUUUUGUUUAGUAUCACUCCAAAGGCCAUUGAAACUCCCCUGCCACGUCAAGGCAAAACCUAAUAUAGUAACUCAUUUCUUUGUUUUUAUUGUAUGUAUUGGGACUGAUGUGCACUAUAGUCAUUGCUGCCGCCCAGGAGUAAUGGGAGUUUGAGCGCAGGCCUUAUUUGUGUGUUUUUGUAUUACACAAUCAUGUUACAGUGCUGCCAUGUGUUCGCUAUUAAGGGUUAAUAGGUGUGUAGGAGUUGUAUUAUGGUAUUUAUUUUUCUCUUUUUAACUGAAAGCAGUUGCGUGAAUUGUUCGUGUAGUUAAGGUUUGCCUCAACGUGGCAGGUGAGCUAACAUUUUAAUGACCAUUGGAGUGAUACUAAAUGACCUCCAGUUACUUAAAUCUGCACAGGGAUUUGGGAUAGUGUGCAAGUAACUGGAUCCUGAAGCUGUAAAUUGUAUAAAAACAAUAGAAAGUAGGAUAAGCGCAAAGAGAUAAACUCUGAGUUGUAUUUAAAUUGUAUUCCUGUUCUCCUGGAGUGGAUACAUAGCGCUGUUUGGUAUCCAUUUCACAUAAGGCAGUUAAUGGAUACAUGUGUAAUACGCCAGCCACAUAUACAAUGGGUAUAAAAACUAAGACAACUUGUGAUAAACGGAACCUUAUACAAGAAAUAAUAUAAUGUUUCCAUAGAAAUACUAUAAAUUCCAUUAAAAGGUACGCACUAAGUACCAAAACCACUUCUGCUGUAGUGAUUGUGCUGCAUGAUAUAUGUGCCUUUUCUUAAAUGGAAAGAAUUGCAGUUUCAGAGAAAUGGCAAGGUUUGUAUUUGGCAGAGUCUCUUAAUGCGGAUUGGAUGUACUUAUUCCUUAAGAUUUUUGGGAUUUCAAGAAGUGAGGAGAAUUCUGCUUCUGACAUACACUCAAGUUUUAUGGCUUUCUUUGAUGGGAGGUCAGUAAUAUAUUCGAAAAGGGAACACAGAUGCUAAAAUCAUCGAGCAAAUCUAUUUGUAAUACAUUUUAACAUUAAAGUGUUCCUAUAAGUAUGAGCACUUCCAAAAGUUGAAAAUGUUGACUUUAAAUAAAGGAACACAAAAAAAACAUUCCUAACACUAUAUUUUUUAACCUGUUUGCGUCCCUGGGCCCCUCCGUGUGGAGAAAUAAGGUUUCAAAACAUACCCUUUUCUCCCUUGCCGCGCCAGUUUUCCUGCAGCUGGCCCUGCCUCCGUGGCUGAGAUGAUGCAUUUUGAUCUCCGGAAAGCAUUUCAAAACCUGUGCACUGCAAAAACAACAUGCUGCACCAAUCAGCUUCUCGUCAUAGAAAUGCAUUCAGGGUCUUCAUGCAGAGAGUGGAGACGAUGAACAUAGGUGCUGCACAUUGUACAGCACUAACACAGGAAGCACCUCUAGUGCCAGUUUGAGUGACUGCGUCUAGACAUGUUACUAGGGAGCAAUGUAAACUCUGAAAAGGCAGUGCUUCCAUUGCUCAGCCUGCAGCUACAGACUAAAAACACAAGAACCACUAUACCAAGCUGUAUAUGUUAUGAUAACUAUAAUUUCCCUUUAAAAACAGAUUGAAAAUUAAACGGACACUCAUAAUGACUAGCAAGGAGGCGGGUCAAUGGCUAAGGAAGGAAUCACAUUUAAAGUCGACACAAUCAGCGAGUACCUUAGCCUGAAUUAUAUAAGCUCUGCCAAAUGCUGCAAUUGUUUCAAUGUCUGUUCUGCCUGGUAUGUGAACUUCAGCUAAAGAAGCAUUAGUGAAUGGGGCAAAAUAAGAAAAGGUUUGAGUCUAGCGAACACGUAUUUAAAAUGCAGAUGGCAAGGGAACACACGGUAAUGAGGAAUGGUCACUUCUGUCACCAUUUAAUAAAUCAGUAAAAGUCACCUGUACCUUGCUUUAACUUUUUUUUUUCCAUGAGAAGCCUGGUUUUCUUUUAAAAAUGUAAAUUAAAGAUUUAGCAAUCAGGAUAAGCAAAUAUUGCAAAUGUAGAGAAGAAAUAGAAAUCAAGUUUGCGCUCUCCUCUGUAUGCUUUCUAUGCUGACUGCGAGGCGCAAAGGGCAGGGCUUGUAACAUUGACAGCGAGCUAAAAUGGCAGCUCAGUUAAAUGAUAAGGAGGUGUGAUUUUCAAAAUGUAACAUUUUUCAGUGAUCACAAAUUCUCACACACACACAGUAAAAUAAAAAAAAUAAAAACGUGAAGUGGCAAUCGAUCCCUGAAUCACUGUUAAUCACUGGUUUCAAACUUGGAAGCAAGUUAAGUCCCAGCUUUGACCCAGUUGUGUUGUCAUGUGAGGGUCACAUGAUGCCUAAUGUGAUAUGAAUUAAACACUGGCCUAUGCACGUGUCCUAGUUACAUGGUCUCCGCGCCAACACAGCGUUUACACAAUUUUAGACUUUAGAAAGGGAUAACCUCAACAGUGCAUUGACAUUUUCGUUUUGUGACUACAUGAUUAAUACAUAAUUGAUUAGUGCAUUUAUUCAAUAAAAAAAAAAAAACUAAAAAAAGGUUCAAAGAAGCAUAUGGACACUUUGGACGGUUACAUUAUUUGUGAAAAGGUGAGAUAUACAAUUGAUUUUGCACAGAUUACCUCCGUUGGAUAAAAUUUAUGAAAAUGUAAAUAAAACGUUAUUUAUACAUACAUUAGAAAACACACAAUAACUGUCUUUGGGACGCUGUAUUUAGCACCCUGAAAUCACGCUCAGCCUCCAUUAUACUUGGAUUGUUCGGUUUAGAGAAUUUGCCUAUUUUAUCUUGGUUAUACCCUCAUAGUAGAUUCACUGGCGAUAUCAAAAGUUUCGUUUACCUAUAGUAAAAUUAUAUGUGUAACAAACCACACAUAUAACCGUGUAAAACCCAAAUGGG